CGGUUAUACGAGAGGCCCCAGUUGAUAACAUUACGGCGUAAAGGGUGGUUAAGGAAUAAAAUAAAAUAAAGCCGAACAGCCCCCCGGCCGUCAUACGCUUCCGGGCGCUAGAAGUCCAGCUUUACGAAAGUGGCUUUAAUGUGAAUAUACCUGACCCCACGAAAGCUGAGAAACAAACUGGGAUUAGAUACCCCACUAUGCUCAGCCAUAAACCCAGACAUUUACGUACGACCACGUGUCCGCUAGGGUACUACAACCUUAUUGGCUUAAAACCCAAAGGACCUGACGGUGCCUCAGACCCCCCUAGAGGAGCCUGUUCUAGAACCGAUAACCCCCGUUAAACCUCACCACUUCUAGUUUACCCAGCCUAUAUACCGCCGUCGCCAGCUUACCCUGUGAAGGUAAUAAUAGUAAGCAAAAGGGGCACAACCCAGAACGUCAGGUCGAGGUGUAGCGCACGAAGUGGGAAGAAAUGGGCUACAUUUUCUAAUACAGAAUACUACGAAUAUGCAACAUGAAAUAGUGCUUGAAGGAGGAUUUAGUAGUAAAAAGGAAAAAGAGUGUCCUUUUGAACCCGGCUCUGAGACGCGUACACACCGCCCGUCACUCUCCCCUGUCAAAAUGCAACAGCUAUACCUAAUUCAAAAGCGCUGACAAGGGGAGGCAAGUCGUAACAUGGUAAGUGUACCGGAAGGUGCACUUGG
rnacentral:rRNA from 1 species